CAGAGAGGAGUUCAGGGAUUAUUUCUAUAGUUUGUUUUCAGAAAAAGCAUGUUCUGUAAUGUCUGGUCUCACAAACCACAAGAUGUGUGGUGUUUCCUUCAGUACAGGAAGCAGGCUUUGGAUGUUACUUUAUGCAGCUUCCUUUGGUACUUGAUGAGUGAUCUUUCCCUCUCAAAGCUGGAAGAGAACACAUUUUGA